rnacentral:lncRNA from 1 species
AGUUCCCUGUUCUAUACAGUAAGUCCUUGUUGAUUAUCUAUUUUAUAUAGAGUAGUGUGUAUAUGUUAAUCCCCAGCUCCUAAUUUAUCCCCCCCCAACACAUUUCCCAUUUUGGUAACCAUAAGUUUGUUUUCAAAGUCUGUGAGUCUGUUUAUGUUUUGUAAAUAAGUUCACUUGUAUCUUUUUUUUUUAGAUUCCACAUAUAAGUAAUAUCAUAUGGUAUUUGUCUUCCUCUAACUCACUUCACUCAGUAUUAUAAUCUCUGUAAUCUCAUUUGUUGCUGCAAAUGGCAUUAUUUCGUUAUUUUUUAUGGCUAAGUAGUAUUCCAUUGUAUAUAUGCACCAUAUCUUCUUUAUCCAUUCCUCUGUUGAUGGACAUUUAGAUUGCUUCCAUGUCUUGACUAUUGUAAACUGUGCUGCAAUGAAAAAUGCAACUGAUUUUUGUGGGAUAAUUUUGAACUCUGUAACUUUGCUAAAUUUUUUAGUUCUAACAGUUUUUUAGUUUUCAUUUUUAUAUUUGGCUGCACCCAAGGCAUGAGGAAGUUCCUAGGCCAGGAAUCAAAUCUAUGCCACAGCAGUGACCCUAGCCAUGGCAGUCACAACACUAGAUCCUUAACCCAAUGAACCCCACAGGAACUCCAGUUUUUCUUGCCUAAUUAUUCUGGCCAGGACUUCCAGUACUAAGAAGUGGCAAAAGCAGAGUUCCCGUCGUGGCUCAGUGGUUAACGAACCACCAUUUAGGAACCAUGACGUUGCGGGUUCGAUCCCUGGCUUUGCUCAGUGGGUCGGGAAUCCGCGUUGCUGUGAGCUGUGGUGUAGGUUGCAGACGCAGCUAGGGGUCGAAUCAGAGCUAUAGCUACCGGCCUAGGCCAGAGCCACCGCAACGCAGGAUCUGAGCCACAUCUGCGACCUACACCACAGCUCAUGGCAACGCUGGAUCCUUAACCCACUGAGCAAGGCCAGGGAUCGAACCCACAACCUCAUGGUUCCUAGGUGGAUUCGUUAGCCACUGCGCCACGAUGGGAACUCCAACAAUCUUUUAUUAAGCACCAAACAUGUACUUUAUACCAUUGUUACCUUUUCAACCCCAUUCUUCUUUUGUGCUUUAGGGCAUCAUGGCUGUGAUGCUGAUCGUGCCUUUGUCCAGGAACAUGGGACAGGUGGAAUCGCUGAGAAUGAAAGGCAAAGACUGUUCCAGACCCAAAGCUGAAAGUCAUCCCAACAAAGAAUCUUUUAUAGAGCAUGUAGUCCGAUGAGACUAUAAGAGAUGGGGGAGCCCCAAGAGCAAUGGCCUUAGCGUGUUUCUUUGGUUCUGCCUGACUUCAGGCUUCCAUCUUGAUUUCAUCAUUGCAUUUUCAUGUGUGAAAGGAAGAUGGUUGAAGGUUGAUUGAAGCUACUAGUUCUUUAACUUCAUUCCCCUCUUUCAUCCCCUCCUCCUCCACUCAUUGAGAAGGCAAAGUAGAGACGGUCUCAAGACUCUUCUCACCAGUCACUUCCUCCCAGCAGCCUUCCUAUGUCUUUCACCCGGUGGGAAUCAUGGGGCCUCCCACGUACCUGCAUAGUAUCCUCUAAACUUUGUUGGGACUCCAACUGCACUGGAUUGUGAUGUCGAUUUAAUUGUCUACGUGCUUCACUAUGUCAUUCUUCCGAGGACAGAAGACAGUCCUAUUUUCUCUUUAUACAUAGGUCCCAGCACAGAGCACAUGAUAUUGACUAAAUUAAAACACUGAAUACCAGAAACAAACGACCAACCAAAACCCCAUAUCGAAUAAGUGACAGGAGUGAUCAUAUGUUUACAAAGAUGGCUGUGAUAAUUUUUCCCACAUUUAUAACUGUGUCCCUUUGCAAAGUGAUUUUGUAGCUCCCAUCAAGGAGUGGGAGUUAUUCCUUCACUCCUUGAAUCUGGUCUUCGUCGAUGAGACAUUAGCAAAUAUGACGCAAGCAGAGACUUGAAAAGUGCUUGUGCGAAAGGGCUUACCCACUUUUGGCUGUGGUUGUCACCCUGAGACCAAGAUUUGAACAAGCCUGAGCUAGCUGAAUGAAGAGGCCAUAUGCAAGAGAGCUGAGGAUGCCCACCAGCAGCCUGCCUCUGUCCUAUUGGCCAAGUGCCAGAUAUGUGAGUGAGUCCAUCAGAGACCUUUCAGUCCUAGUAAGACCUCAGUUGACUACAGAUAGAUGAUUGACUCCAGGCAAGGCCAACCAAAGAACCAUCCAGAUGACACAAUCCCAAGUUCCUGACCCACAGAAUUAUGAACAAACCAGUAAGUUUAGGAGUUCCCGUUAUGGCUCAGUGGUUAAUGAAUCCAACCAAGAUCUAUGAGGAUGUGGGUUCGAUCCCUGUCCUCGCUCAGUGGGUUAAGGAUCUGAUGUUGCCACGAGCGCCAUGUAGGUUGCAGAGGUGGCUCGGAUCCCUUGUUGCUGUGGCUGUGGUGUAGGCCAGCAGUUACAGCUCCAGUUUGACCCCUAGCCUGGGGGGUUCCAUAUGCCUCAGGUGCGGAC